rnacentral:lncRNA from 1 species
GUGAAGAGCUCCAGGAACAUGUCAUGUCAGGAGGUUAAGCUAGUUCAGAGCAUUCCAGCCAGUGAGAAAUUUUUAAGAAUGGAGAAUGGCUAAUAUAUUUCUAGGAACAAUGAUGUCUGUUAUUAAAUUUGGAGGCAUUUCCUUGAUUGACUACUAUUACCUUCUAAUAUUUCUAAACUUUCAGUAGAAAUCUGUUAUCUAAAAUAACCUAAUGUUUGUGGUACUUGGUAGGUAUGGAGGAAGAGGAAAAGAGUCUACACAGACCCAAAAACAAAGAAAGUCUUUCAGGAGCAGGCUGUGAUGAAGCAGUGGGAUUCAGGAUGGAAUGUAAUGUCAGAACACAAGCCCUCCCUGGAAAUCCAAAGGACAAUACCAGUGGUAGAGGUACCACUGUUUUUUCUCCAGAACUGGGAGGUCCCAUAAGAAUGCUGGGGAGAGGCAGAGGGAGAGAGAAAAUCUCAAGCAGACUGUAG